rnacentral:tRNA from 2 species
AGUAAAAUGGCUGAUAAAAGCGAUAAAUUGUAAAUUUAUUUAUGAAAUUUUCUUUUAUUA